GAUGAACGCUGGCGGCGUGCUUAACACAUGCAAGUCGAACGAAGCAUUUAUAAUGAAGUUUUCGGAUGGAUUUAUAGAUGACUUAGUGGCGGACGGGUGAGUAACGCGUGGGUAACCUGCCUCAUACAGGGGGGAUAACAGUUGGAAACGACUGCUAACACCGCAUAAGCCUACAGUCUCGCAUGAGACAGUAGGAAAAUAUUUAUAGGUAUGAGAUGGACCCCGCGUCUGAUUAGCUAGUUGGUGAGGUAACGGCCCACCAAGGCGACGAUCAGUAGCCGACUUGAGAGAGUGAUCGGCCACAUUGGGACUGAGACACGGCCCCAAACUCCUACGGGAGGCAG
rnacentral:rRNA from 1 species